rnacentral:pre_miRNA from 1 species
CUUGUACUCCCUCCGUCCAGAAAUACUUGUCAUUGAAAUGGAUGUAUCUAGAUGUAUUUUAGUUCUAGACACAUCCAUUUUGAUGACAAGUAAUUCUGGACGGAGGGAGUACUUC